UGAAAAACACAAUUCUAAACGGUGGCGCUUGGGUAGAAGCAAUUCCCUCAGUGGAGGCGGCUCUUAAACUAGCUAAAGAGGCGGUUUGAUUGCAUAUAAUUCUCUCCCUUCGACCUCUCGGACAAGAGGGUUUGAAACUUAAUAGAGUUGGGGUUCCUGAAAGAAUGGGCAUGGUUGGAAGCGAAGUAGAAGAAGAAAGUGCUUCAAUCAAAGCUCUGGGCUCUCUCUUCAAGCUUACCCAAAUCCAUCUAUGGGAAGAUGGGUCGACAGAUACUUGUUUGGUUCCUCUCUUCCACGAACACAACAGGUUUGAAGAUAUGGGAUUGAUACAAGA